rnacentral:tRNA from 1 species
GGAGAGGUGCCGGAGUGGUCGAACGGGGCAGAUUCGAAAUCUGUUGUGUCUUUCGGGGCACCGUGGGUUCGAAUCCCACCCUCUCCGCCA